rnacentral:rRNA from 1 species
ACUCCUACGGAGGCAGCAGUGGGGAAGUAUUGCACAAUGGGCGCAAGCCUGAUGCAGCCAUGCCGCGUGUGUGCAAGAAGGCCUUCGGGUUGUAAAGCACUUUCAGUCGUGAGGAAGGUAGUGUAGUUAAUAGCUGCAUUAUUUGACGUUAGCGACAGGAAGAAGCACCGGCUAACUCCGUGCCAGGCAGCCGCGGUAAUACGGAGGGUGCGAGCGUUAAUCGGAAUUACUGGGCGUAAAGCGCAUGCAGGUGGUUUGUUAAGUCAGAUGUGAAAGCCCGGGGCUCAA